UGGCACGUCUGGCUGCCUCUGAGGAUUCAUGUCUCAUCUGCAACCAACUGAGAUGAAGCGAAUAAUCGGGCUAUAAUUAGGAUAGAUCAAUAUUUAGAAAACCCAGAUUCUGCGGAUUUCCUGCCAGCGUCAGGAGAACCUGGAGAAGACAGUUAGCAAGCUUAUCAGCAAUAAUUGGCUGCUUGAAUUACUGCUGACCAGGAAGGUGAAAGGUACAGUUUGAUGCAAAUGCCAUUCUGAAAGGAUGACAGCUGGCAUAGGAAACGAUAUCUCUUCAUGAAUCCAUCAUCCAUCUUCCAUUAAGACUGGAAUAAGUCUGCUGCUGUUUGGGAAGGGGUGUU
rnacentral:lncRNA from 1 species